CUCAGUUAUUGUUUUCUUUACUUUCAGAGAGCGAGCUGACCAAGGGGGUCGAAAAUGUAGAUAUUGCCAGAUGUUCACUGUGUGAGGACCAGGCCGUGGAAGCUUUAUUGCUGGCAAAGUGUCCCUAACCAGAGGUUAUAUCAGCUGUUUUGUUGAACCUCUCCCGCAUCUGAACUGGCUGACAGAGGGCACAGCCUGAUCAUAGGUAUGUUUUGAUGUGAGAGGAAUCCAGUCCCGACAGCGCAAUUGUGAUGAACUGAGAGAAUAUUAGGGUAGCACUGUCAUUCAUGAAUCAUAUGCUAUCUGCCGCUGUUCUUACCUCUCUCCCCACCUCGUCUUCUAAUGCACACCAUAUGUGCUCUGACAAAUCAACUGUACAUUUCGGUGUUCCUCAAUGUACCGUAAUGGACCACUAUUGUUUUCACUGUAUAUUUUACCUCUUGGGGAUGUCAUUCGAAAGCAUAAUGUUAACUUUCACUGCUAUGCGGAUGACACACAGCUGUACAUUUCAAUGAAACAUUUCAAUGAAACAUGGAAGCCCCAAAAUUCCCCUCACUAGAAGCCUUUUUUU